ACGGCCGCGGUAUUUUGACCGUGCGAAGGUAGCGCAAUCACUUGUCUUUUAAAUGGAGACCCGUAUGAAUGGCACCACGAGGGCUUAACUGUCUCCCCCUCCCAGUCAAUGAAAUUGAUCUCCCCGUGCAGAAGCGGGGAUAAAAACAUAAGACGAGAAGACCCUAUGGAGCUUUAGGCGCCAGGGCAGCUCACGUUAAACAUCCUGAAUAAAGGGAAGAACCAAGUGAACCCUGCCCCAGUGUUUUUGGUUGGGGCGACCGCGGGGAAAUACAAAACCCCCAUGUGGAACAGGAACACUAAGUUCCCAAACUCAAGAGCUCCCGCUCUAAUAAACAGAACUUCUGACCAACUUAGAUCCGGCUAUGCCGAUCAACGGAACGAGUUACCCUAGGGAUAACAGCGCAAUCCUCUUAAAGAGCCCUUAUCGACAAGGGGGUUUACGACCUCGAUGUUGGAUCAGGACAUCCUAAUGGUGC
rnacentral:rRNA from 1 species